ensembl:lncRNA
CGGAACCAUUGGUUUGAGAGUUUAGCCCCCUACCUAGUCCACUAUGUCCAGAUAAUGCACAUUUAUGAGGAAUCCUUGAUGGUAGAGUUCUGGUGGUCCUCAGGAUUUGCCAUCCAGAUGUACAGCUUCUCCAUCAGUCCUCCAGGUUCCUGGUCUGGUUACAAACGUAAUUUGUCUCUAAUGUAAGGUAACAAACACAGAAGUAGUUUGUCUCUAAUGUAAGGUAACAAACACAGGAGUAGUUGGGCUCUAAUAUCAGGUAACAAACACAGGAGUAGUUGGGCUCUAAUAUCAGGUAACAAACACAGAAGUAGUUUGUCUCUAAUGUAAGGUCACAAACACAGGAGUAGUUUGCUCUAAUAUCAGGUAACAAACACAGGAGUAGUUUGUCUCUAAUGUAAGGUCACAAACACAGGAGUAGUUUGUCUCUAACGCAAGGUCACAAACACAGGAGUAGUUGGGCUCUAAUGGCGCGUAACAAAGUAGCAGCUGUAGUUUGUCUGGUAAACAACCACAAUAGUAUGCCGUAACUUGUACUGGACAAACUAAUACUGCGUUACAACAAGUCUACUCUGUUUAUUUUAGGCAAACUUACGAGGAUCCUGGUUGGUGGAGUGAUGUCGUCCUCCAGAGUCUUGGCUCCUCCAUCAGCUCUCCUCAGCCCGAGUCGUGGUCUGGAACAAACAGCGCGAGUCUGGCCCUAAAGACUGGUAACAAACAUGUAGUUUGUCUUAUUUUUAAGCCCUUUAUUUCCAGUUUGUUUGGUUAAUACAAACUUACAACCCUGGUUGGUAGAGUGAUGUCAUCCUCCAGAUUCACGGCUCCGUUAGCAGCUCGCCUCCGCUCCAGAAACACGUUCUAUGUUUCAGAUGAGCUUGGUGAUGGUUACCCUCUGGUCCGGUGCUGCAGGCCCCUGGUCUCC